rnacentral:rRNA from 2 species
CCAGAGCCUGAAUCAGCAUGUGUGUUAGUGGAAGCGUCUGGAAAGGCGCGCGAUACAGGGUGACAGCCCCGUACACAAAAGCGCAUGUGCUGUGAGCUCGAUGAGUAGGGCGGGACACGUGGUAUCCUGUCUGAAUAUGGGGGGACCAUCCUCCAAGGCUAAAUACUCCUGACUGACCGAUAGUGAACCAGUACCGUGAGGGAAAGGCGAAAAGAACCCCGGCGAGGGGAGUGAAAAAGAACCUGAAACCGUGUACGUACAAGCAGUGGGAGCACAGGUUUACCUGUGUGACUGCGUACCUUUUGUAUAAUGGGUCAGCGACUUAUAUUCUGUAGCAAGGUUAACCGAAUAGGGGAGCCGGAGGGAAACCGAGUCUUAAUUGGGCGUUAAGUUGCAGGGUAUAGACCCGAAACCCGGUGAUCUAGCCAUGGGCAGGUUGAAGGUUGGGUAACACUAACUGGAGGACCGAACCGACUAAUGUUGAAAAAUUAGCGGAUGACCUGUGGCUGGGGGUGAAAGGCCAAUCAAACCGGGAGAUAGCUGGUUCUCCCCGAAAGCUAUUUAGGUAGCGCCUCGUGAAUUCAUCUCCGGGGGUAGAGCACUGUUUCGGCUAGGGGGCCAUCCCGGCUUACCAACCCGAUGCAAACUGCGAAUACCGGAGAAUGUUAUCACGGGAGACACACGGCGGGUGCUAACGUCCGUCGUGAAGAGGGAAACAACCCAGACCGCCAGCUAAGGUCCCAAAGUCAUGGUUAAGUGGGAAACGAUGUGGGAAGGCCCAGACAGCCAGGAUGUUGGCUUAGAAGCAGCCAUCAUUUAAAGAAAGCGUAAUAGCUCACUGGUCGAGUCGGCCUGCGCGGAAGAUGUAACGGGGCUAAACCAU